UACGUAGGCAGCAAGCGUUGUUCGGAGUUACUGGGCGUAAAGGGUGCGUAGGCGGCUUUUUAAGUUUGGUGUGAAAUCUCCCGGCUCAACUGGGAGGGUGCGCCGAAUACUGAGAGGCUAGAGUGCGGGAGAGGAAAGUGGAAUUCCUGGUGUAGCGGUGAAAUGCGUAGAUAUCAGGAGGAACACCUGUGGCGAAAGCGGCUCACUGGACCAUAACUGACGCUGAUGCACGAAAGCUAGGGGAGCAAACAGG
rnacentral:rRNA from 1 species